AUGUUAUAAUAGGCACCCUAUGCAUCUGUGGAGGCACACCUAAUCAGAAGCAGGAUUUCUGGGCCAUAAAUUCUGUGUCUCACUGUUAAUUUUGGGAAGACAGAUUAUUGAAAUGAAACAUUUUUACUCAUCUGACUGCUCAUGUCUGACAAAGCUGUCAUAUUCAGAAUACACGAAGAAUUCUUAGAAAUAAACAGUACAAAGAAAAACAACACCAUAAAAAUCGACAAAGCAGGGCCAGUGAGGUUUGUACAUACGAGUGUAGGAGCCUGAGGAGGCCAGAGGCACCAGAUUUCCCAGAGUUGGAGUUGCAGGCAGUUGUGAACCAACUGGGAGUGUAUCAGCUCU